rnacentral:sRNA from 1 species
CCUAGGAUUCCAUCCUAGGCUAUGGUUAUUCGUCCCUUCGGGACG